UAAGACAGUGACAUAGCAGAAUAGAGUUUAUUAUGAAAGUAAACCACCACCCCAAAAAACUCACACCUUCUCACCUAGAAGCCUAAUGUGUAGCUAAGAUGCCUUUUUGUCCCCUCUACGAAAUGCUGGUGUCACUGAACCCAUAGUUCUUCUAAAAGAAUGGUAAAUGCCAUUAAAUAUAUCUAGGAUUCCAAGCAAGCAAAGAUUGGGGCAUCGGUGGAUUUACAUAGGAAGUUGUCAGGUACAUUCAUUUUGUGCUUAAUUAGCUUGUCUGACAGUGUGAGUCACACAUUAGACUACUAAACAGUAAAUUUUUGAAACUUAAACCAUUAGUAAUCCUUGAUUAUUUGGUUUAUUACACUCAGUAAGCAUGUAGUUUAUUGCACACAAGAAGUAGAAGCUUAACUCGAGGCUUUCUAUAGCUUUAAUUGUUUUCGAGAUCUGAAACAAAAUGAGUGAUGGGUUACCUUUCAUGGCUCAAUGCAUUUAUUAGAUCUAUGUAGUACAGAGUGAAGUACUUCAAAUAAGCACAUUUAAAUAAUAAUGUGUUGUCACAUUUCUUGAACUGCUCGAGUUGGUGGAUUUUGAUAAUUGCCAUAUAUAGUGUUAAAGCAAUUCUCUAAACCAACUUAGUUCUUAGUUCUUAAAAGUGAUUAAAACCUUGACAUGAUGAUUUUUUUCCUUAAAAGGUCUUUGGACUGAGGUUUAACAGUGGGGUACAUGCAGUUAUUUCUGCAGUGCUUUUCAUAUGAGAUUUCAAGUGUGUAACUUAGACCUUUUGUUGCUUAAAACUGCAUUUCUUGCUGCUGUUCUCCUGCAAUUUAUGAUUUAGUACUUAACAUGCUGCUUCUAGAGAUUGUGUUUAUGAUUGUUGCCUCAUAAUGUAUGUGACUUACUGGCCUGGUAAUAAGAAUCUGCUGAUUUCAAGUUGUAAGGCUGUCCAUUUUUUUUUUUUUUUUUUUUUUUAGGUGUGAUGGAAAGGAGGUUUUCAGUGGUGUCGAGUACAUUGUGCAUUAAGCGCUUCAUGGAAGGACUAUCACAGGUCGAAGAAUACUUAGUACACACAAGUGGAUUUUCCUGAAAGCCAUAGUGGCAUGAACAGUUUCUAGUUAUGGGAAUAUGACAUGUCCUGAAGAAAUACUUCCUCACAACAGGAAGUGAAACAGAGAGGUGCUUGAAUGCUGUUUCUGAAUAGAAGGAAAACGUGUUUUAUAGAAAACAAGUAGAAACAAUAGCUUUUGGCUUUUUCAGUGAUUAAUUGGAACACUUUGUCAGAACUGCCUGACAAAUGUGGAUGAUGUAACACAAAGGAAGUGUAACACCUGAAGAGAUCGUGGCUGGAGUGGGAUGCCAUGCUUUUAAAAGCCUGCUGAAACAGCUGCAAUUUGUUCAGUAGAUACUGUCUUCAGAAAUUGUGUGUAGACCAAAAUUGGUGUCUCUGCAUAUUUAAAACGCUGUCUUUCCAAACACUUAACUGUCUUCUCUAGGAAGUGUAGCAGUAUUAGGGAAAGGAGUGUUGGGCUUCAGUACAUGGAAAAGCCCUUCCAUUAUUUACCCUUUUAAAAUACCAUAUGGGUACAGAUUUGCAUAUACUGGAGAUCUGUGAUAACUCAAGAGUGGAGCUCACAGGCAGGCUUUGUAAAGACAGGGUGAAAAGCAAAGAAAAAGACAAUGUUGACAGCUUGCAUCACUACCUAGUGAGGGUGUGAGGAGUUGGGAUUUUAUGGGCUGCCACUUCAGCAGGAGAAGACUAAUACCACAACAAUGGAACUGCCCUUUGAGGAAUACACUGGCAGAAGUACUUGCUUGCUCUCUGGGGAAGAGAUUGGUAGUGGGAAAAGUGAGUUACAUACAUUGGAACUUGGGCUUUGAACAGUCACUUGAAAAGUACUGGUGCUCUAAUCACAGUAGCAGAAUAUUUGCUGUAUUCAGCAAACUCUGCUUUCCACAGAGGAAUGAAGGAUCAUAAAUUGGUCACCAAGUAAAUUUAAAGACAGCUCAUGGUGUACGUGAGAUGAAAUUGGCCUUAAAGCAUGACCUUCAAGACUUAUUGUCAGGAAUUCGUUAUAAAGGUAGAAACAUGAAAAUAGCAUAAUUAAAAAUUCAUAGACCUACUAUUACUGAAUCACUUUGAAAUGGUCCAAAAUAUAUAAAACAACCCUAUAGCUCAUGAAGUGUACCCGUUCAUCAAUGACAAAAUCCAUGUAAAGUUAAAUUUUCUGUAAAAGUAGUAUGAAGAAUAAACGCUACCAGGAGUAGCACAUAAAGCAUUGGAAAUGUCAAAAAUAAGUAUCCAGCAGGCUACUACAGUGGAUGCUAAGGAUCCAGCUGAACUCCAGGAAUGCAUUGGCUCUCUGAGCAUCUUCUUUUGUCUGCUUAUUAAGCAGUGGCCAGCUACUUUGGCUAAAGGUUGCUCCUUCUGAGCAAGGAACGGUAAAUCAGUCUGUUGAAUAUAAAGAUCUGCAGAAAUAAACUAGAAAAUAGCUUUGUGUUCAUUGCUUUCAAUAAUACUUUUUUCUGUUAAAAAUGUUAUUGAGAGUGGUGCAUAUUUUAAUGUGCCAUGUUUUGUACAUGCUUUUGAAUAAAGAUAAGGAUGUUAAAGUCAUGGCUGCUGCACAUCAGCUGCAGAUCACACCACAGUGUUCCUUCCUUGACUGCUUGUACUUCUCAAGAGCUAUGGAGGCAAUGUGGCCUUGUGCUGACUGGUGCAGUGUGUACUGGGCACACGAUUCUUCGUGCUGUGCUUGAGUGAUUCCAGGACAAAAACUACUGCCUUUGUACUCAAGAAGUGGGAAGGUAAGGUUAGUCUCAAUCUGCCUAGUGCAGAUCUGCAAAAAGCUUGGAUGCUGUUAACAGCCAAGCAGGUCCACUAGAUGCUGUUAAGUCCAGAAGUUGUCAGUCAUAGGUGGGUCCGUCUCUUCUGGAUGUUAAGAAGAUGUCAAAAGAGCAGAGAGAUGGUUUAAUAGAGCAAUAUUUGGUAAGUACUUUAAGUAUUGAAAGGGAUUUAUAUAUUUCAUUACAGGGUCAGAAGAGUGGCAUGUGUUUCGGAGAAUAAAGGUACCAUCUUUAUCUUUUAGGCUGGUGUUAAUACAGAGCAUUAAAACCUUGAAAGAAUGCCGUGUGUAUGUGCAGUAAACUUGGUGAAAGUGAUUUUACUUUGUGAUGUUGGGGGGAUGAAAUAAAAGACUUAAGAUUCAGGGUUGUGAGUGGCACUUCAGGUACCUGAAGUACUUCAUGACUGUUUUUUAUGUUCUAAAUCAUUUACUGGGGAUGAUCUUGGGGGUAGGAUAGGCAGCAAUAGAUAAAGGGUGCUAGUGAAUAAAGUUAAUGCAUAUCAGUGUGGUGGAGGCCUGUCUCAGGAUGUUUAGUCGUGAAAAAGGUUGGCCUCUCAGCAUAUGAAGUAUAUGUGACCAGUUGUAAGGCAUAUUGCAUAUUGAGCUGCAGAACUUUAUCAAGGAAUGAUCCUGUACUUCAGAGCUACUGAAAAUUGGUAGCCAAUAAAAAACGUGUAUUGGUAG